CUCUGGAUAUCUGCUUGAAACUUUACAAUGUCUGGUAAACAAUGAAAAGUUCCGUGUAUCAGACCCAGAGCCCAGCAAUUCAUGUUUGAAUCUGUCAGUCCCCCUUGUAUUGGAUCCUCCAGUGCAGAACAGGGCAGGAAUGUCCAACAGAAUAACUCUGAGAGAAAACCAAGAACUACAGCUCUUCUUUGUGCCUGUAUCUUGAACACAUGAAAUUUAAAUUGUUAUUUACCAGCGUCUACAUUAUUCAAUGUUUCAAAUGUAAUUUGGGGGAUAUUUGUGGGUAUUAAAAAAAAGAAGAAAGAGAAAUGGACAAACAAUC